rnacentral:rRNA from 1 species
AGCGAACGCUGGCGGCAGGCUUAACACAUGCAAGUCGAGCGGGCAUAGCAAUAUGUCAGCGGCAGACGGGUGAGUAACGCGUGGGAACGUACCUUUUGGUUCGGAACAACACUGGGAAACUUGUGCUAAUACCGGAUAAGCCCUUACGGGGAAAGAUUUAUCGCCGAAAGAUCGGCCCGCGUCUGAUUAGCUAGUUGGUGAGGUAAUGGCUCACCAAGGCGACGAUCAGUAGCUGGUCUGAGAGGAUGAUCAGCCACAUCGGGACUGAGACACGGCCCAAACUCCUACGGGAGGCAGCAGUGGGGAAUAUUGGACAAUGGGCGCAAGCCUGAUCCAGCCAUGCCGCGUGAGUGAUGAAGGCCCUAGGGUUGUAAAGCUCUUUUGUGCGGGAAGAUAAUGACGGUACCGCAAGAAUAAGCCCCGGCUAACUUCGUGCCAGCCGCCGCUGUAA